rnacentral:rRNA from 1 species
UAAGGAAUAUUGGUCAAUGGACGCAAGUCUGAACCAGCCAUGCCGCGUGAAGGAUGAAGGUCCUCUGGAUUGUAAACUUCUUUUAUCUGGGACGAAAACGGGAUUUUUAUCUCAAUUGACGGUACCAGAGGAAUAAGCACCGGCUAACUCCGUGCCAGCAGCCGCGGUAAUACGGCGGGUGCGAGCGUUAUCCGGAUUUACUGGGUUUAAAGGGUGCGUAGGUGGGCUUAUAAGUCAGUGGUGAAAUCUCCGGGCUUAACUUGGAAACUGCCGUUGAUACUAUAGGUCUUGAAUUAUCUGGAGGUAAGCGGAAUAUGUCAUGUAGCGGUGAAAUGCUUAGAUAUGACAUAGAACACCAAUUGCGAAGGCAGCUUACUACAUAUAAAUUGACGCUGAGGCACGAAAGCGUGGGGAUCAAACA